CACAACUAUGAAUCAUCACUCCUUUACUUCAUUUUCUCAUUUACACCAUCUUCUUUCCUAUUCCUAACUCCUCUACUCCAAAACCAUAAAUUCAGAACAAUUAAUCUUUUCUGCAGCGGCUUUUCUUAGUGCAAGGUUGGCAUCCCGCUCAAUCCAGUUUGAAGUCAUCUGAACCUGAUACUUUGCUCCAGAUUUCACUCGGCUUCUACUUCAAACUCAUCAUCCUCCAUAGUUCACAUUCAUAUAGCGGGACUUUCCAAACGAAGAAUUACCUCUUAUCCAAUUGGUCUUAUUUUAAUUUGACGUGAAGAAUAGAAUGUCUUUCAACAACAGGGAAGGGGGAAAGAAUAAGUUUCUGUACAGGGACAACAUGGGAAUCAAGAAGAAAAGCCGAAGAGAGACAAAGCUAAUUGACAUGGAGAGCAUUCAGGGUGGUGAAAGAUCUCUUGCUGAUGCAACUGCUUCUACCAAACAUAGUCUUCCAUCAAUGGAAGAGGAAGUAGUUGGUUUUGAGGAUGAUACAAAAAGCAUAAUUCAACAAUUGACUGGAGGAACAAAGGAACUAGACAUUAUCUCGA